CUAUAAUGCAGUCGAGCGAAUGAUGAGGAGCUUGCUCCUCUGAUUUAGCGGCGGACGGGUGAGUAACACGUGGGUAAUCUGCCUGUAAGACGGGGAUAACUCCGGGAAACCGGGGCUAAUACCGGAUAAUAAGAGAAGAAGCAUUUCUUCUUUUUGAAAGUCGGUUUCGGCUGACACUUACAGAUGAGCCCGCGGCGCAUUAGCUAGUUGGUGAGGUAACGGCUCACCAAGGCGACGAUGCGUAGCCGACCUGAGAGGGUGAUCGGCCACACUGGGACUGAGACACGGCCCAGACUCCUACGGGAGGCAGCAGUAGGGAAUCUUCGGCAAUGGGCGAAAGCCUGACCGAGCAACGCCGCGUGAGCGAUGAAGGCCUUCGGGUCGUAAAGCUCUGUUGUUAGAGAAGAACAAGUACGAGAGUAACUGCUCGUACCUUGACGGUACCUAACCAGAAAGCCACGGCUAACUACGUGCCAGCAGCCGCGGUAAUACGUAGGUGGCAAGCGUUAUCCGGAAUUAUUGGGCGUAAAGCGCGCGCAGGCGGUCUCUUAAGUCUGAUGUGAAAGCCCACGGCUCAACCGUGGAGGGUCAUUGGAAACUGGGAGACUUGAGUGCAGGAGAGAAAAGUGGAAUUCCACGUGUAGCGGUGAAAUGCGUAGAGAUGUGGAGGAACACCAGUGGCGAAGGCGGCUUUUUGGCCUGUAACUGACGCUGAG
rnacentral:rRNA from 1 species